CCCUGACUUCCUUCCGCCAUGGAAGGCCCAGCCCCAGUCUCAGCCCUACUUCACUCUAGCACUAUAGUUGUGGCAGGAGUUUUCCUACUUAUCCGCUUCCACCCCCAAUAGAAAAUAAUAUUUUAAUCCAAAGCCUUACACUAUGCUUAGUGUAAUAUGACCUCCCUAUUCACAGC